GUAGGUGAACCUGCGGAAGGAUCAUUACGUACUGUAGGCCGGUCUGACCGGUUCUAUUCUACCCUGUUUUUUGCGCACUCUAUGUUUCCUCGGCAGGCUUUGCUUGUCGAUAGGACCUUAUUUGAAACUCCUCAUCUUAGUAUUCAGCGUCAAAAUAAUAUAAAAUUGUAACAACUUUCAACAACGGAUCUCUUGGUUCUG
rnacentral:misc_RNA from 1 species